UGCAUUGAUCGCGGGAUUGGGGUCGUUGACUUCAUCCUGCGCCACCACAAUUCCUUCCUGUUAAUCACGGGAUUGGGGUCAUCGCCACCUCCUCCGCCUUCAUCCUGCGGCGACAGCGGCUCGCGGUGCGGGCGCGGGUGCUGGCAGCGUAGGGAGACGGCGAGCGCGGCGGGCGCUUGUGCACCCCGAGUGCCGUCCUCCGCCGCGCCCUGCCUCCGCGGGGAGGAGGUUCUCAACCGCGACCGCACCGCCCGCGACCGCAACAAGGCCGACCUCCGCUGCCGCUGGCCACGGCCCUCGAUGAAAAUGUAAGCUCCCCCAUCGCCGUUAGUUCGACCUGCCUCAUCGCAUCCUUACCCCUACAGUCCCCACUACCUAUCUGCCAUUGCCUUCCUAGCUCCUCUCCUCUCUUCCCCAUCUCGCCUCACACCAUUAAACUCGACCCGGGUGCGGCGGCCGGCGGCGAGCCCCACCCACCCACGCUCGCGGAGGAGCGAGCGGGCGUGCAGCAGCACUAGGGGCAGGCAUGGGACCCUCGUGCGCACGAUCUUCACGGUUGGCAAGUGGAUCCGCAGCACAGGGCAGGCCAUGGAUCACCUCGGAUCUGCAUCCAGGGCGGCCUUCACGUCGAGGAGCAGCGUAAGUAUCCGCCUCCUUGCUCCAGCCUGGGAUGGGAUCGGGUCUUCAUCUAAUUAUUUAAUUUCAAUGUCGUGCGGAGCUAGCUGUAUUCAGCUCAUCGUGUUCAUCUAUUAGGAACUGUUAAUGUCAUGUCAGGCUGAUUCAGUGGUGUCCGCAAUCAUCAGUAUGCUCGCUGUUGGGGUUGUUCCCAAGAGGGGGAAGAAUAAAACCGAAAUAGUGUUCCUAAAGAUUGGGUUAGCUGUGGAUGAUGGUAAUGUGAUUUGAACAAACCUGAGAUGAGCUUGGCCUUUCGACUGGACUACUAAUAUCCCUCUUUAUGUGUACCGUUUGCUUCCAUUGUCGUCACUUAUGUGAACUUUGCAUUGCAGUUUGUAUUUUUUUUUCAUGAAAGUAAUGGUAAUUUGGUAAAUCAUGUAUGACAAGGAUUGGUUGCCACAAUCCUACUGUCUUCUGUUAAUAUGUCGUGCUGGCAUUUUCUGUUUGAAGUGAUUCUGUAUAUAGUUUCUCUUCCAUAGCAUCAUAAUAAUGUCAUUUCUUCAUGGUGUCACUAUGCUGCAACUGGGAAAUCACCAGGCUUCUGCGUGAUUUGUACACAAUGAUGAGGAAUAUGGGUUUCUGUUUUUAGGGCUGUGCAGUUUCUUAGCUUAUUACUCUCAAAGGCUUGCUAACUGCUUGCUGAUUUGGAUAAUUGGUUCCUUACUUUUGGUCUUCUCAUGUGCAACACUAAUAAAGAUGUUAUCUUUAUAUACAUGACUUGCAUAAAACCGCCUCAGAACAUUUAUACAUAGCAAAGCACCAACAGUAUCUUUGGUAAAUUUAUCUUGCGCACAGAAAUAUUUGGUAAAUUACUUGAGGUUCUCAAGAACUGGCAUGAGAGGACCACUCGGUUUAUUGUCGAUACUGAGGUGAACAGAUUAUGGGGCUUGGAGUUCUUGAUGUCAGGGGUUGGGGAUCCCUAUUUGUGAGUUUGCCCUUUACACUGCCUUGGGAGGAGUUCAUCCAUCAGCUAGUAUAGGACUGUCUCUGGUGUGGCAGGGCCCUGGUUAUUUUGGACAAAGUAAAUGUAUGCUUUGUUUUAGUUUUGAACAGCAUACAGUUGGUAAUGCUGGCUCCAAUUAAUCAGUGCCCUACUCGUGGCUCCAAUUAAUCAUGGCUCCAAUUAAUCAUGGAGGAACCUGAUCACACUCGUGUACUCGUGAACAGCAUACAGUUGGUGUUUUCAUAUGUUCCAAGAAGCACAUUUUCACUACUUCCUCCCUUCUGUUAUGAGUAAGACUUAUGAAUGCACCUUUUGUUUUAUAGGUCUUGAAAACUCCUAUCUCACUUGAUAUGCUUGGACCCAUCAUUAAUGGUUCUGGGAAACCUAUCGAUAAUGGUCCUCCAAUAUUGCAUGGGGCUUACUUUUAUAUUUCUGGAAGUUGAAUCAACCCCAGCGAGAGAAACUAUCCAGAAGAGAUGAUUCAAACAGGAAUAUCCACCACUGAUGUGAUGAACUCAAUUGCCCGAGGGCAAAAAAUUCCUCUCUUCUCUGCUGAUGGGCUUCCACACAAUGAGAUUGCUGCUCAGAUAUGUCGUCAAGCUGGUCUUGUCAAUUAGUUUUAUUUUUUGGAAGAUGUGUCACUUCUAAAAAUGUUCUAAGUUAUUGUUCCAUUGCUUUUGAAAUAUUGGUUAACCUUUACCCUUGAAAGAAAUGGCUGGCCUCUAUUUGGUUAUUGACUGUUA